CAAGAUCACCACCCCAUUGGGAAGAAACUAAAUCACGACCCCCAAAUGGUAGUCUUCCCAUGCAGAUACAGGGAUGUCACACAGAUCCAAAUUGAAACAUCGAACACUGUAAAACCCACUGUGCAGACAGGACCAAUGGUGACAAUAUAAGACCAUGCCGAGCUUCAUGGACGGUUCAAACUCAUCCUGCCCAGGAACGGCUGAAAACGUUGACAGUCAAUCAACAGGGGGACAUGGAAAGAGAGGAUUGGAAGUGAAAUAGAGGGUUUUCCGGGACAGCCAUAGGAGAAGGACUGUGGCAUCUUC